GGAUCUCUUUCUGGUGAUUACUCCCUUUCGAGUUCUCCUGGGAGCCUAGGACAUGGAUAAGGCAGCAGUGUGAAGCCCAGUGUGGAUAGUGUUCCAUGGAUAAAGACCGCUGGUUGAGCUGGUGCCUUUAUUGCUGGGCAUUUUGUGUUUUUGGUGACAAGUGCCUGGGACAGGCUGCUGGUGGGGAGAGAGAGAGAAAGCUGCAUGCUCCAGUUCUGGAGCUCUCAGUUUAAGAACUUCCUGAACUGAAGCUUACAGAUCCAGAGGCAGAAAUGAAAAAGGUACAGAUAAAGAGGAUGCCCAUGUAGAAAUUUCAGUCACCUACACUGCUCAAAGGAGGAGAACCACAGCUGGUGAUUGCUUGAGGCAAUCUGGCACACCUGUAAUGGGGCAGCACAGAAAACGUUUCUGCGUGGGAGAUUCUCUGCCAGAUCAUUCCGGAUAUAAGGCAAGUGUGAGCUCUGUGUCUAUGGCUAGUUGUGUUACAUGCUGGAUAGUGUACACACCAGGCAAUCUGCUGAAGAGUUGAAGUGUUUCAUAAAAAUCAUGUCAACUCCUCAACAGUUGAAAAAAGCAUGAUACAGCUAGCUACGUUAGCAAGAGGUCCCUGAUGAUGCAAAGCUGGGCUUGUGCCCAAGGCUGAGAACCCAUUAUUGCACAGCCUUGCAGGUUUUCUUUGUCUCUCAGUGACAAUAGGAUGAAGAACAGUGGACUGGGGUUCUUGUUGUCUGUGAGGAAAAGUUCCUUUAAAAUUGGACAUCCUGAUGUCAUAGGCUUGCAUUGUGUGUAUAUAAUGUCCUUAGGACAUUAGCUUAGACAGGAGCUCAGAAUUUGAGCUGGUGUGACUUAGGCUUUAUUUCUGCCUUUGUGCAGAAUCCAGAAAUUAUCUCCUUAAACUGCCAGAGACUUUGUCUCUCUAUGUCCUGCCAAAGCGCAGUUUGAAAUCCGGUUUAGCAACUCAGCUGACAAUUGCCACAGCACUGAAAGUAUUAUCUUUUUGAGGUAAAGAAUAAACAUCCUUCAGAAUGACCAUACAGUGUCUGCCAUCCACACAAAAUGCAUUGCUGCUAACAAGCACCCUUAUUCUUCCUACCAAAAUCAAGGGUCAAAAACUUGGUUAAACAGACAGUUAUUCUUCUCUGAUGUGACUCCUCUGUGGAGCUCUGUUAUCACUGGUAAGCAUAAAGGUGACUAUUUAGUGGGUUUGCUAUUCCCAAACAGCCCCAUAUCUCUGCAAGAAGAUGAAUACUUAAAAUAAAUAAUAAUAAUAAAAAUCUCAAAUACAAGUUUGUUAUCAGUGCUCUUUAAAGUGCUGUAGCAUAUGAAAUGUCAGCAGAAAGUCUGAAGACCACCCAUUCUUCCUUCCCUAUUUUCUCUGUCCCAGUAUUACCUAUAUGUCCUGACCUAUCUUCCAGCUGCACAGUAUUUACUCUGGAGGAGCUAGUAAUGGCCUGGGGAGCAAGUGCAAUUUGUUUGCUUUUCUGAGUCAAGUGCCAAUGUCAGAAACGUCUGAGAUAAGCUGUAGGAGACAGAAUCUCUAGUGAAGAAGUUUUAAUUCACCACUGCAUUGUGGACAUCCUGCCAACGGGAGCACACCUAUAGAAACAAAAUGACAACUUUUGAACCUUGUGUCCGCCAAACUUACCCCCUCCCUUGUUUUCCCACUGGCUCGGUAGUCCAGUUUCACAAUCUUAAGAAGUUUCGCAUUUGUUAAUUACAUUCUGACACUUGUUAAUUCAUAGCCAAUCUCGUUGCUAGCUGAUAGCCAUCCUGCUGUUUCCAAGAGGUCUCAGUCACCAUCUUGUCGUUUCCAAGAUGUCUCAGUCCUCUUCUUAUUGUGUUGACAUGGUGAUUCUCUCCAAGGCCUCUUUAGUUAAACAAAGAGCACCGGAGGUGGGGUGUUUGUCUUACAUCAGUCUUCUUGAAUUUUGAUAAUGUUUUGCCAACACUACUUCUCAAAGUAAGUCUGAACUGUAAGACUUUCUCAGAAAGAUAAAGCAAUAUUUGUUUUAAAUAUGGAAAUUUUAAAUUCUGAAGUUAUGUGCAUAAUCCAUGACUGUUGAUGUAAGAACUGCCUUUUGUUAGUUUUCUUUAAGAAAAUCCUAACUACCCCCUGAUUAGUCUGUACAUUCCCCAGAGUUAAAAGCAGUGUUUUUCAGAAGCUGCUGGUGUGCGUUUUAACUGUCCCACCUCUACACAAUCUUUGAAAGAGCUUGUGUUAUGAUCUGAAGAGGGAAAAUUAAACAGAUGAAAGAAAAUAAAUUGUAGUAAUGAGACAUUAAAGAAGAACAUGAUAAAUCAGGUUUUUUUAUAAGUAUUUCUAUACUUUCUGAAGGAGAGCCGAGUAAUAAUUAUUGGACAACAUCUCUUGCAAGAAUCUGAGUUCAAAAUGGACUGCUACACCACAAACAUUUAUGUCCAACAGAACUUUUCGUUCUGAGCAAGAACAAAUACAACAGUUUGAAGCUCUGGCUAAAUACUCAAGCAAGAAAAAUCUUUCUUCUCUGUAAAUUUUCAUGAUUUAAGAUGACAAAGUAAUUUCCUCAUCUACUGUUCUGUUUGAUUACUCGCUGGUUUGAUGAUUUGGACCUGUUCAUAACAUCUUACUUAUGACCUUGCUUUUUGUCAUUGAAAAAAGCCCUUUCUUUAAUUAGCUUCCAGGAUAUUUGUAGCAGCUUGGCUUAUGCUAAUUUGUGUGUUUGUUCAUCUUUUUAAUAAAAUUCUUAUUAAUUCUAAUCUGUUUGAGAUUUACUUGGCAAAUUAUAAGGGUACAUAUAAUCUCCUACAAAUGGCAUGUUGCUUGUCUCUGCUUCCUAAAAUAGUAUCAUACUUUCCUCAGGUUGUCUCAAUGACACAGGAGUGCCCUUCAAGUGUUAUGCUCUAAUACUGUAGAAAACCUUCAGCGAAUUCCAAGGAAAGACAACUUUCUUUAUCUCCCUUGUUUCUUUGGAAAUUUGGAAGUGAUUUUAGGCCUCAGUAUAGUUUGCCAUUGCAGAUGGGCACAAACAUAGAACUUCCCAGGAGAUCCUUGAAACAUGGUAGACAUUGGCUUAAUCUGCCUUAAUCAGCUCCAUUUUGCUGUUUGUCUUGAUUUUUAUUUUUUUUUUUGUCUUCAUCUCAGCUUAAGUCACCUCAUUAUUUCUUCCACCCAGAGUCAAUGGAACAUUUGCUCUAAGCCAGAUUUCCCUCUCUGAAAGCAGAAUCAUGCUUCCUACCUCCAAAAUGAUCUUUCUGACAUAAGCAGGACUUUCAUAAUUGUUAGAUAUUUUUUCCAAACUGAGUUGCUUGGGUUUUCCAUAUUCUUAUAAAUAUAUGUAAGAAACAGUGAUAAUGUCCUCUAUAAAAAGAGAUGUAUUAAUUAGAUAUGGCAACCAAGCUUUUGUUUGCAAAAGCACUCUUGCAGAGCAGUAAAUUAUAACAAACAAAACCUUGUAAUGACCUCCAAUUUCUUUUUCUUUUUUCUCUCUCUCUUUUUUUUUUUUUUUUAAAUAUAUAUAUAUAUAUAUUAAAAAUUUACAGGUCAGUAAAUACAGAGCAUAUAUUUUAUCAGUGGAGAGUGGCAUAUUAGUCUCCCAGCUCUCUUUCUUUCUCUUAACACAGUAAACAGCUUAAAGCUGUCAAAGUGAGGUAGACUCUCACAAAGAAGGAUUUUGUUAAGUGAUACUUGAAGGUUAAUGAAUUUUACCCAGAGACCCAUCUUUUGGACUAGCACUGAAUGGAUUAUCUGGUUCAGCAAUUUACUGCAUGGUAGAUUAUCAGCAUGCCUAUAUUGCAACUACCUAAAGACUAUCAUUA